CUGGGGUGUCAGAAACCCCUCAUCAGGAAAGAUCAUCCCAGUGGCUCUGGAGUUCAUUGUCUCUGGCCAAAGAAAAUCGACAGCCAGCGUGGACACUUACGGUAGUAAGCGCAGCAGAGAUAUUUUCCAAGAAUCCCUUCAUAUGUCCUUUACUGUCAAAUGACUAUGCCCGUCUAAUUGCUUACAUGAGACAGAAGGUCACAAGAUUGCUGUUGGAUAACUGUCUCCUGAGAGGCUUCAUCCAGCAGUGAAUGAAAACAGAUGCAGAGACCUGCAGCCGAACAGGCAGAGCUUGGGGAGUCUUGUGGAAGAGUGGCCAGAGGGGUCAAGGACAUCACAAGAAAACCCUACCAAGUCAACAAACUUGAGCCACGGGGGCUCAGAGAGAUUGAACUGCCAACUGAAGAUUAUUCAGGGGCUGAACCUAGACUCCCUGCACAUUUGUAGCAGAUGUGCAGCUUGGUCUUCAUGUGAGUCCCCUCACAAUUGGCAAGGACUGUCUUGAACUCUAUUGUCUGCCACUGGACCGCCAUCCCUACUUGGACUGCCUGGUUGGGCCUCAGUGGGAGAGGAUAUGCUUAGUCCUUCUGGAACUAGAUGUUCUGGGGUGGGGAGGUACCCCCAAAAUGCUUCCCUUUCUCUGAAGAGAAGGUGAGUGGAUAAGGAGGGACAAGGGAUAUGAGGGUGAGACUGGGAAG
rnacentral:lncRNA from 1 species